rnacentral:ncRNA from 1 species
GUCCGUCGCAAGGCGUGUACUGGACGUCCUGCCCUUCCCUCCGGUUCUCCGCCGGUGCUCUUGACUGAGUGUCGGCGGCGGCCGGAACGUUUACUUUGAAAAAAUUAGAGUGUUCAAAGCAGGCUCUCGAGCCUGGAUAAUGGUGCAUGGAAUAAUGGAAUAGGACCUCGGUUCUAUUUUGUUGGUUUUCGGAGCGCGAGGUAAUGAUUAAGAGGGACAGACGGGGGCAUUCGUACUGUGCCGUUAGAGGUGAAAUUCUUGGAUCGGCGCAAGACGAACGACUGCGAAAGCAUUUGCCAAGAAUGUUUUCUUUAAUCAAGAGCGAAAGUCAGAGGUUCGAAGACGAUCAGAUACCGUCCUAGUUCUGACUAUAAACGAUGCCAACUAGCGAUCGGGGGGCGUUACAUUGACGACCCCUCCGGCAGCUUACGGGAAACCAAAGUCUUUGGGUUCCGGGGGAAGUAUGGUUGCAAAGCUGAAACUUAAAGGAAUUGACGGAAGGGCACCACCAGGAGUGGAGCCUGCGGCUUAAUUUGACUCAACACGGGAAAUCUCACCCGGCCCGGACACAGUGAGGAUUGACAGAUUGAGAGCUCUUUCUUGAUUCUGUGGGUGGUGGUGCAUGGCCGUUCUUAGUUGGUGGAGCGAUUUGUCUGGUUAAUUCCGAUAACGAACGAGACUCUGGCUUGCUAAAUAGUUACGCGACCAUCCCGGUCGGCGUUUGACUUCUUAGAGGGACAAGUGGCGUUUAGCCAC